GCAAUUACACAGGCACAGUGUCAAACAAUGAAAUAAAAACAAACCUACAUUUGCUAAGCCGUAAUGCAGUACAGAAGUCAGGCCCUGUCCAGCAAGGAUGAAAUUCAACUCCCCCUGCGAGAUCCUUGGAUGCGACUGCGGGGUGUCGUAGACCAGAAAACACCAUGCGACAAACCACAUCACUCCAAUACUACCUGCACAUGUACCAGCCGUUUUGUGUAUCCAAGGCUGAUUCAAGUUCUCAAAAGGAAGCUACAGGUGGCUGCUGUGAAGUCCAGACAGAGCAACACGCAUUUGCUUGGACAUUCUUGCUUGGAUUCUUGGUGCCGUUUGGAUCCCCCACUAGUUCUGUGAUUAAAGCUGUGUCUGACCGUAAUGUAUGUGCAGAUGGUGUACACAAAAUUUAUUCAGCAAUUUUGGUGAUAGAUGGGACAAACAAGCAUAAGCCAUUCUGGACAACACGGUGAUGAGUGGCUGAAAUUUAGGCAAUCAAUGUUUUUAUUCCUUCAUUUUUUGAGUUUGUGAAACAUGCUUAACAAUUUUGUGUGGAGCCUGUGGCUCUCAAGCCUCACAGGACAAGAAUCCAAACCAGCUCACAAAAACACCAGAGAGCAGUCACCAGAGACUGGAUUGCAAUACAAUAAUAUCCAAUCAUAAAUAACUGGCUGUGAAUUUUUGAACUCCAAGCAUCACGGGAGAUCAUGCGACAACGGUUUUGUAGUUACAGUUUAGAACUCGAAUGACACUUAAAAUACCUAUGCUGGUAAACGUUUGCUCUUAUGUCAUAUUAAACCGAUAAUGCCCAGAUCUUCGAAGCAAUGCUUUGUACUGUAUAUCGAAGCCACAACAUCCAACCUGUUUGCUCAAGUGCAGGUACUCGCAAAUCACGGAAAGUUAAUACAAUAUGAUUUCCUAACAGUGCAGCAGUGCUACAUGUCAAGACCACGAUGGUAGGGUGAUUACUCAUGUUUUCAACAGGUAUGAUAUAUUAAAUCAUUGUCAUGAUAU